rnacentral:rRNA from 1 species
AGCGAACGCUGGCGGCAGGCCUAACACAUGCAAGUCGAACGGACCCUUCGGGGUUAGUGGCGGACGGGUGAGUAACACGUGGGAACGUGCCUUUAGGUUCGGAAUAGCUCCUGGAAACGGGUGGUAAUGCCGCAUGUGCCCUUCGGGGGAAAGAUUUAUCGCCUUUAGAGCGGCCCGCGUCUGAUUAGCUAGUUGGUGAGGUAAUGGCUCACCAAGGCGACGAUCAGUAGCUGGUCUGAGAGGAUGACCAGCCACAUUGGGACUGAGACACGGCCCAAACUCCUACGGGAGGCAGCAGUGGGGAAUCUUGCGCAAUGGGCGAAAGCCUGACGCAGCCAUGCCGCGUGGAUGAUGAAGGUCUUAGGAUUGUAAAAUCCUUUCACCGGUGAAGAUAAUGACUGUAGCCGGAGAAGAAGCCCCGGCUAACUUCGCGCCAGCCGCCGCGGUAA